rnacentral:rRNA from 1 species
GACGAACGCUGGCGGCGUGCUUAACACAUGCAAGUCGAACGGAAAGGCCCUGCUUUUGUGGGGUGCUCGAGUGGCGAACGGGUGAGUAACACGUGAGUAACCUGCCCUUGACUUUGUGAUAACUUCAGGAAACUGUGGCUAAUACCGGAUAGGAGCUCCUGCUGCAUGGUUGGGGUUGUAAAGUUUCGGCGGUUGGUGAUGGUCUCGCGGCUUAUCAGCUUGUUGGUGGGGUAGUGGCUUACCAAGGCUUUGACGGGUAGCCGGCCUGAGAGGGUGACCGGCAACAUUGGGACUGAGAGACGGCACAGAGUGCUACGGGAGGCAGCAGUGGGGAAUAUUGCACAAUGGGCGGAAGCCUGAUGCAGCAACGCCGCGUGCGGGAUGACGGCCUUCGGGUUGUAAACCGCUUUAGCCUGUGACGAAGCGUGAGUGACGGUAAUGGGUAAAGAAGCACCGGCUAACUACGUG